CAAUUGUCAAGUUUCUCUCUACCAACCAAGGCACGCUGAAGAGCUUUGCCAUGAUGAAUUUGAAAAUCUUGUUCACAUUUAUAUUAUGUUUAGCACUUGAAAAGAAAAGGGUCACCUUCAUUGCCUUGGCAUAUACCCACACAUUAAAUUAUCAAUAUUUAUAUAUAAAGCGUUCUGUAAUUGUUAGUGCUUGAUUCUUUAUUUCAUUUUUUCCCCCUAAAUCAGGGUAAUGUGGGAUGAUUUUCACAAAAGGGUGAUCUCAGGGAAGUGAGCGAAGAGGUUGCCAA
rnacentral:misc_RNA from 1 species